AUGAUGUGGGUCGGCUGGCCUGGCGUCAGCGUCCCCAAUGAGACCGGUCAAACAGUAAUCACCGAGGAACUAUUCAAGCGGAGGUGUGUACCUGUGUUCCUGGAUGAGGAGUUGAUGGACCAGUACUACAGCGGGUAUUGCAACAAAAUUCUCUGGCCACUCUUCCAUUACUUGGGGCUCCCGCAAGAGUACAAGAUCAAUAAGGCAAAAGACAUCAAGUCGCAGUUCGAAGCGUAUACUCAAGCAAAUCAGAUGUUCGCAGAGACAGUGUGCAAAAUUUAUAAGGAAGGAGAUAUCAUAUGGUGCCAUGACUACCAUCUGAUGUGCCUUCCCAAGUUGCUGAAGCAGUAUAAUAUCAACAUGAAGGUAGGCUGGUUCCUGCACACGCCAUUUCCCUCAUCCGAGAUGUACCGGGCACUGCCAAACCGUGCGGAGUUGUUGGAGGCGGUGCUUAAAGCUGACUUAGUGGGGUUUCAUGCGUAUGAUUAUGCAAGGCAUUUUGUGAGUGCUUGCAUUAGCCUGCUUGGGCUUGAGGGUUGCCUUGAUGGCAUUCAGUUUGACGGAAGGAUUGUCAAGGUGGAUGCUUUUCCAAUUGGGAUAGACGCUCAGCGUUUUACAAAAGCAUUGGAGGGUCCCAAAGUGAAAGAGAAAAUUACCGAAUUCAAGAAACUUUUUGCUGGCCGAAAGAUUGCAGUGCCAACCAGAAGUGACGUACCCGAAUAUCGGAAGCUAGCAAGUCAAGUGCAUGAACUGGUUGCACGUGUAAAUGGUCGAUUCGGAACACUGAAAGCAACUCCUAUUCUACACCUGGAUCAAACCGUCGAUUUUGAUUCAUUGUGUGCUCUUUAUGCAAUCACUGAUGUAGCUCUGAUAACAUCACUGAGAGAUGGAAUGAAUCUUGUAAGCUAUGCAUACGUUGCCUGUCAAGAAUCAAAUAAAGGUGUUCUGAUACUGAGUGAGUUUGCAGGGGCAGCGCAAUCUCUUGGGGCUGGUGCUAUUAUUGUAAACCCAUGGGAUAUCGUGGAAGUAGCAGACGCAAUAAAACGUGCUUUGGAUAUGCCAACUGAAGAAAGGGAGAAGAACCACAGGCAUAAUUAUGAACUUGUGUCAAGACACACCGCACAAGACUGGGCCGAAAACUAUGUCUGCGACCUACAUAAUGCAACUAGUAAAGCUCCGCUACCAGCAAUACACACUGCCGUGCUCCCUAUUGGAGAAGCAGCUGCACAAUAUGGACAAUCCAACAAUCGUUUGCUCAUAUUGGGUUUCAAUGCAACAUUGACUGGUCAGAUCCAAUUUGUAGAGGGAAGGACUGACAUUGAACUCAAGUUGAACCCUGAGUUAAAGCAACCACUGAAAACACUUUGCGAUAAUGAGAAUACAACUGUCGUUGUUGUCAGUGGAUAUGGCAGAAGUAUUCUUGAUGAAAAUUUUGCAGACUAUAAAUUGUGGUUAGCGGCAGAGAAUGGGAUGUUCUUAAGGCAACCUGGUGAAGAAUGGAUAACCAUGAGAUAUGAACAGGAGGAAAUCAGCUGGGCUGGCAGUGUAAAGAAAGUGUUUGAGUACUUCACCCAAAGAACCCCGAGGUCUAAUUUUGAACAGCGUGAAACAUCACUUGUUUGGAACUAUAAGUAUGCAGAUGUUCAGUUUGGGAGAAAUCAAGCGACAGAUCUGCUGCAGCAUUUGGGGGCAUAUUCAUUAUCAAAUCAAAGCUCUGUUAUCGUUCAAGGCAGUCGGUCAAUUGAAGUUCGUCCUACGGGAGUCACCAAGGGUAAAGCCGUUGAUGAAAUUAUUCACGAGUUAGAUCUCAGAAAUACCAUGGCUACUCCAAUCGACUAUGUCUUGUGCAUUGGUCAUUUCCUUGCAAAGGAUGAGGAUAUCUAUACCUUACCCAGCUUUGAUGUUCAACCUGGAGCGAAAAGAAAGGGGAAGGGGUGUCAAGCAGAGGAUUGCUCAAGCGUCAAGUUUGACCUCAACCCUAAGAACUAUUUCUCAUGCACUGUUGGUAGGGAACACUCUGUAGCACAAUACAAUCUUGAGGGAACAAAUGAAGUUGUGUCCCUACUCCAAGAUCUUGCAGCAGCAGCUGCUCCAGGUAGCAUGAGUGACCAACCAUAG
rnacentral:rRNA from 1 species